rnacentral:rRNA from 1 species
UACGUAGGGUGCGAGCGUUGUCCGGAAUUAUUGGGCGUAAAGAGCUCGUAGGCGGUUUGUCGCGUCUGCUGUGAAAGCGCGAGGCUCAACCUCGCGCCUGCAGUGGGUACGGGCAGACUAGAGUGCGGUAGGGGAGAUUGGAAUUCCUGGUGUAGCGGUGGAAUGCGCAGAUAUCAGGAGGAACGCCGAUGGCGAAGGCAGAUCUCUGGGCCGUAACUGACGCUGAGGAGCGAAAGCGUGGGGAGCGAACAGG